UACGUAGGGCGCAAGCGUUGUCCGGAAUUAUUGGGCGUAAAGAGCUCGUAGGCGGUCUGUCACGUCUGCCGUGAAAACCCAGGGCUCAACCCUGGGCCUGCAUUCGAUACGGGCAGACUAGAGUGUGGCAGGGGAGACUGGAAUUCUGGUGUAGCGGUGAAAUGACGUAGAUAUCGAGAGGAACACCGGCGGCGAAGGCGGCCAACUGGACCACUACUGACGCUGAGACACGAAAGCGUGGGGGAGCAAACAGG
rnacentral:rRNA from 1 species